rnacentral:rRNA from 1 species
GACGAACGCUGGCGGCGCGCCUAACACAUGCAAGUCGAACGGAGCUUAGAGAGCUUGCUUUUUAAGCUUAGUGGCGAACGGGUGAGUAACGCGUGAGUAACCUGCCCUAGAGUGGGGGACAACAGUUGGAAACGACUGCUAAUACCGCAUAAGCCCACGGUACCGCAUGGUACUGAGGGAAAAGGAUUUAUUCGCUUUAGGAUGGACUCGCGUCCAAUUAGCUAGUUGGUGAGGUAACGGCCCACCAAGGCGACGAUUGGUAGCCGGACUGAGAGGUUGAACGGCCACAUUGGGACUGAGACACGGCCCAGACUCCUACGGGAGGCAGCAGUGGGGGAUAUUGCACAAUGGGGGAAACCCUGAUGCAGCGACGCCGCGUGGAGGAAGAAGGUUUUCGGAUUGUAAACUCCUGUCGUUAGGGACGAUAAUGACGGUACCUAACAAGAAAGCACCGGCUAACUACGUGCCAGCAGCCGCGGUAAAACGUAGGGUGCAAGCGUUGUCCGGAAUUACUGGGUGUAAAGGGAGCGCAGGCGGGAAGACAAGUUGGAAGUGAAAACCCAUGGGCUCAACCCAUGAAUUGCUUUCAAAACUGUUUUUCUUGAGUAGUGCAGAGGUAGAUGGAAUUCCCGGUGUAGCGGUGGAAUGCGUAGAUAUCGGGAGGAACACCAGUGGCGAAGGCGGUCUACUGGGCACCAACUGACGCUGAGGCUCGAAAGCAUGGGUAGCAAACAAGAGUAGAUACCCUGGUAGUCCAUGCCGUAAACGCUAAUAAGAGGUGUUGGGGGAUGGACCCCCUCAGUGCCGCAGUUAACACAAUAAGUAAUCCACCUGGGGAGUACGACCGCAAGGUUGAAACUCAAAGGAAUUGACGGGGGCCCGCACAAGCAGUGGAGUAUGUGGUUUAAUUCGAAGCAACGCGAAGAACCUUACCAGGUCUUGACAUCCGAUGCAUAGCACAGAGAUGUGUGAAAUCCUUCGGGACAUCGAGACAGGUGGUGCAUGGUUGUCGUCAGCUCGUGUCGUGAGAUGUUGGGUUAAGUCCCGCAACGAGCGCAACCCUUAUUGCCAGUUACUACGUUAAGAGGACUCUGGCGAGACUGCCGUUGACAAAACGGAGGAAGGUGGGGAUGACGUCAAAUCAUCAUGCCCUUUAUGACCUGGGCUACACACGUACUACAAUGGCGUUAAACAAAGAGAAGCAAGACCGCGAGGUGGAGCAAAACUCAAAAACAACGUCUCAGUUCAGAUUGCAGGCUGCAACUCGCCUGCAUGAAGUCGGAAUUGCUAGUAAUCGCGGAUCAGCAUGCCGCGGUGAAUAA